rnacentral:rRNA from 1 species
AGGAAUAUUGGUCAAUGGACGGGAGUCUGAACCAGCCAAGUCGCGUGAAGGAUGACGGCCCUACGGGUUGUAAACUUCUUUAGUGCGGGAACAAAUAAAGGCACGCGUGCCAUGUUGAGUGUACCGCAAGAAUAAGCAUCGGCUAACUCCGUGCCAGCAGCCGCGGUAAUACGGAGGAUGCGAGCGUUAUCCGGAUUUAUUGGGUUUAAAGGGUGCGCAGGCUGUCGUGCAAGUCAGCGGUCAAAUGUCGGGGCUCAACCCCGGCCUGCCGUUGAAACUGCAUGGCUGGCGUGAGUGUGAGGUAGGCGGAAUGCGUUGUGUAGCGGUGAAAUGCAUAGAUAUGACGCAGAACUCCGAUUGCGAAGGCAGCUUACCAACACUUUACGGACGCUGAGGCACGAAAGCGUGGGUAUCGAACAGGAUUAGAUACCCUGGUAGUCCACGCAGUAAACGAUGAAUACUAAUUGUUCGGGGGGUAACUCCUGAGUGAUACAGCGAAAGCGUUAAGUAUUCCACCUGGGGAGUACGCCGGCAACGGUGAAACUCAAAGGAAUUGACGGGGGCCCGCACAAGCGGAGGAACAUGUGGUUUAAUUCGAUGAUACGCGAGGAACCUUACCCGGGCUCAAACGUUGGGGGAAUGCUCCUGAAAGGGAGCAGCCAGCAAUGGUCGCCAACGAGGUGCUGCAUGGUUGUCGUCAGCUCGUGCCGUGAGGUGUCGGCUUAAGUGCCAUAACGAGCGCAACCCCUGCGUCCAGUUACCAUCAAGUGAAGUUGGGGACUCUGGACGGACUGCCGGCGCAAGCCGUGAGGAAGGCGGGGAUGACGUCAAAUCAGCACGGCCCUUACGUCCGGGGCGACACACGUGUUACAAUGGCGUGGAACAGCGGGAAGCCACCUGGCGACAGGGAGCGGACCCCUAAAACACGUCUCAGUUCGGAUUGGAGUCUGCAACUCGACUCCAUGAAGCUGGAUUCGCUAGUAAUCGCGCAUCAGCCAUGGCGCGGUGAAUACGUUCCCG